rnacentral:rRNA from 1 species
AUGACCCAAAAUGUAGAUCAUAUGGAGCAAAAGAGGCAACUGGAAAGGGAACGGUAUUCACAAAAUAGGGAUGACAUAUUAAAAAGACAACGUCAAGCCUACGGUCAGAAAAAAUUGUCUCAGGCUUCUACAGGGACCGGUGCCCAGAAAGAUGAAACACAAACACCGAUGUCCACAUCCAUUGACCCUAAAGAGUUAAGGAGGCAAAGGGACAGGGAGCGGUAUGCACAGAACAGGGAUGAAAUAUUAAGAAGAAAACGCCAAUCCCGUGAACAGUCAAAGACAUCUAUUGCCACCGUUAACAGUGUUGACAAUGUGUCACGCACACCAGCUACAGGACAAUCGGGUGUCAGCCAGCUACAAACAAUAUCAUUUGCAGGCUUAUCAAACAUACCAACUUCAUCCCAAUCACAUGAAGGGAUCCCUCCUCACGAGGACAAUAUUUUAGGAAACAUUGAUGAAUCCAAUUGGUUGCAUAGGAAUGAUGCAUAUCAGAUGGUAGAAAUUGCAGGGAGACUGAGAGCUGUUGUUGUACCUCUUGGUCAUGAAACGCAAACAAUUUCCAAUGUCACUGCAGAUAUUGCACCAGUGGGCAACGACUAG